AGAGUUUGAUCCUGGCUCAGAUUGAACGCUGGCGGCAUGCCUUACACAUGCAAGUCGAACGGUAACGCGGGGGCAACCCUGGCGACGAGUGGCGAACGGGUGAGUAAUACAUCGGAACAUAUCCAGUAGCGGGGGAUAACCUAUCGAAAGAUGGACUAAUACCGCACACGAUCUACGGAUGAAAGCAGGGGACCGCAAGGCCUUGCACUAUUGGAGUGGCCGAUGUCGGAUUAGCUAGUUGGUGGGGUAAAGGCUUACCAAGGCGACGAUCCGUAGCUGGUCUGAGAGGACGAUCAGCCACACUGGAACUGAGACACGGUCCAGACUCCUACGGGAGGCAGCAGUGGGGAAUUUUGGACAAUGGGCGCAAGCCUGAUCAGCCAUGCCGCGUGAGUGAAGAAGGCCUUCGGGUUGUAAAGCUCUUUCGGUGAAGACGAAACGGUUAGCGCUAAUAACGCUGACUAAUGACGGUACUCACAGAAGAAGCACCGGCUAACUACGUGCCAGCAGCCGCGGUAAUACGUAGGGUGCAGGCGUUAAUCGGAAUUACUGGGCGUAAAGCGUGCGCAGGCGGUUUGCUAAGACAGGUGUGAAAUCCCCGGGCUUAACCUGGGAAUUGCGCUUGUAACUGGCAAGCUAGAGUGUGGCAGAGGGGGGUGGAAUUCCACGUGUAGCAGUGAAAUGCGUAGAUAUGUGGAGGAACACCGAUGGCGAAGGCAGCCCCCUGGGUUAACACUGACGCUCAUGCACGAAAGCGUGGGGAGCAAACAGGAUUAGAUACCCUGGUAGUCCACGCCCUAAACUAUGUCAACUAGUUGUCGGGGAAGAAAUUCCUUGGUAACGAAGCUAACGCGUGAAGUUGACCGCCUGGGGAGUACGGCCGCAAGGUUAAAACUCAAAGGAAUUGACGGGGACCCGCACAAGCGGUGGAUUAUGUGGAUUAAUUCGAUGCAACGCGAAAAACCUUACCUACCCUUGACAUGCUAGGAAGCCCGCAGAGAUGUGGGUGUGCCCGAAAGGGAACCUAGACACAGGUGCUGCAUGGCUGUCGUCAGCUCGUGUCGUGAGAUGUUGGGUUAAGUCCCGCAACGAGCGCAACCCUUGCCAUUAGUUGCUACAUUCAGUUGGGCACUCUAAUGGGACCGCCGGUGACAAACCGGAGGAAGGUGGGGAUGACGUCAAGUCCUCAUGGCCCUUAUGGGUAGGGCUUCACACGUAAUACAAUGGUCGGUACAGAGGGCUGCCAACCCGCAAGGGGGAGCUAAUCCCAGAAAGCCGAUCGUAGUCCGGAUUGUAGUCUGCAACUCGACUGCAUGAAGCCGGAAUCGCUAGUAAUCGCGGAUCAGCAUGCCGCGGUGAAUACGUUCCCGGGUCUUGUACACACCGCCCGUCACACCAUGGGAGUGGGUUCCACCAGAAGUAGUUAGCCUAACCGCAAGGAGGGCGAUUACCACGGUGAGAUUCAUGACUGGGGUGAAGUCGUAACAAGGUA
rnacentral:rRNA from 1 species